GUGAGGAAUUUUCCGCAAUGGGCGCAAGCCUGAUCCAGCAAUGCCGCGUGUGUGAAGAAGGCCUUCGGGUUGUAAAGCACUUUUGUCCGGAAAGAAAUCUCCUGGGUUAAUACCUCGGGGGGAUGACGGUACCGGAAGAAUAAGCACCGGCUAACUACGUGCCAGCAGCCGCGGUAAUACGUAGGGUGCGAGCGUUAAUCGGAAUUACUGGGCGUAAAGCGUGCGCAGGCGGCUAUGCAAGACAGAUGUGAAAUCCCCGGGCUCAACCUGGGAACUGCAUUUGUGACUGCAUGGCUAGAGUGCGUCAGAGGGAGGUGGAAUUCCGCGUGUAGCAGUGAAAUGCGUAGAGAUGCGGAGGAACACCGAUGGCGAAGGCAGCCUCCUGGGAUGACACUGACGCUCAUGCACGAAAGCGUGGGGAGCAAACAGGAUUAGAAACCCUGGUAGUCC
rnacentral:rRNA from 1 species